GGAAACCAUUUUCCCCCACUCUUGAGUCUGAUCUUGAUGUGUUGUGCUUGAUGUGAAUUGUUUCACUCGCUACGUGCGUUGCCGCAGUCGUGGUGGAGGAAGAGCUCGACCGAGAGUUAGGGGAAGCCGCAAGGUAAACAGCGGCAAGAAAUGAAGAAGUUUAUUAGGGUUCUGGAACAUUUCUAUCAGGGAGACACCUCGUUACCUGUGAGAGUUGCCGGGGAAGUAGUUUAGGAAAGUAUAUCAGAUAAAUGGAGGACUGAGAAGGCACAUAAAAAGGAAGUAGAUAUGCCUCUUCCAUCAUCAAGGGAAGGGGUUCUAACACCCCCCUGGCUACGUCACCGCUUCACUGUUUAUUUAUAAUAUAGAAAUGAGUACUUUGAAAGGCUUAUCGCUUCCCGAGGAUCGUCGAGGUGCCUGUAGAACCACCGUUGGGGCCACAACAUGCAGAAUGGUGGUGAUGGUGAGCUCUAAGAUGGUCAGA